rnacentral:rRNA from 1 species
ACCUGCCCUAUGAAUAAUUUACUUUUAAAUGGCUGCGGUACUCUGACCGUGCAAAGGUAGCAUAAUAAUUAGUUUCUUAAUUGGGAACUGGAAUGAAUGGUCGAACGAGAAAAAGACUGUCUCAAUUUAAUUUAAAUUAGAAUUUUAUUUUUAAGUAAAAAAGCUUAAAUAUACUUAAAAGACGAGAAGACCCUAUAGAGUUUUAUAUAAAUUAUUAUAAUUGAAAGGUAAAGUAUUUUAGAUUUGACUAUAAUAAUUUAUAUUUGGUUGGGGCGAUUAAAAAAUUAAUUUAACUUUUUUUAGAUUGAACCAUUGAUUUAUGAAUAGGUGAUCCAUAUUUAUUAUGAUUAAAAGAUU